GGGCCUAUAGCUCAGUCGGUAGAGCAACGGACUUUUAAUCCGUGGGUCGACGGUUCGAGCCCGUCUGGGCCCACCA
rnacentral:tRNA from 2 species